rnacentral:lncRNA from 1 species
CCCACACUGCCUGUGGACUCAGCAGCUGUGCAUCUCUCCGUCCCUCCCACACACACACAUUCACACACACAUACACACACACUGGAUCUUCAUCUGUGAAGGCGAAGUCUUUCGCAAUGAAUCCAUGGCAGCUUCGAUCGAGCGGUGAGCUGGAGCACCUACAUACAGGCCACUCCUUGAUGUGACUGAAAAGAGGCCUUUUCCAGCACUCUGAAAGGAGAGUGGGGCUGUGGAUUUACCUCCCACACACCUGGGCACCCAGAGUACAUGCACUGCGAGCAGAUCAGGACUGCAUCYGCCUUUUUGUGAAACACCACCUGUAACUGCUUUCUUCUGCUCCCAGUUGACUCUCCAUUUGAUGGAAACCCAAGCACAAAGUCUGUCUCGUCUUUUGACAUCAUCCAGACUAAUGACUUUGAGUGGCAACACAGGACUUCCACAGGUCAGGGAUGCCCUGGUUGGGAAUGCCAUGUAAGGGCAGCCACUUCAUCUCACUGGAGAGGUGGCUUGGCCUCUGGAGUUUUCUUGCUGGACUUGCACUGGGAUGGCUACUUGUCAUACUUGGAGAGAGAACUCACUGCUGGUGAAGGAACCUCUCUCAGUUACUCGCCUAGGGGAAGGUUGGCUGGAAGCCAACCGCACACUGAAGGAUGCUGGAGUGCUGAUGCCUCUGCCCCAUUGGAGUCUGCGGACAUGGAAGUAUUCUCCACAGAUUCCAGUGACAGAUGGAUCUCUCUUGUGCACACGUGCUCUUUCCCUCUCUGUAUUUUUGUUUUCAACAUGUUUGAUCUGAAGUUCUGAAGCUUCUCAGAGGGAACCCGGGAGAGAAGGAAGAGGAGGAGGAGGAGGAGGAGGAGGAGGAGGAGGAGGA